rnacentral:lncRNA from 1 species
ACUAAUAAAAAUAGAUAACGACUCUUAUCAUUACGAGAAACACAUGUUGCACAUAGUUCUGACAGCAUAGCGAUAAAACAAACAUCAAAAGCGAGAGGUACUUGGUUUCUUGUCCAGCGCAUAUACAAGGAUGGGGCGAGUUUUUUCAUCAUCAGGCUACAUAACUAGAGAACAUAGCUUCUGGAAAAGUGUCUCUUAGAGCUUGUUGACGACGACGGCAGUAACAUUUAGGUAAGUCUUGUGCUGGCCAUGAACAAGAUGAAAUGGAAGAUGCCGUAUUGUGCUGGACAAAGUGUCUCCAGUCCUUGUUGAAAGCUAUGCGUCCAUCACAAUAGGUGCUGUAUUCGACGCGAGUCUUUGCCUCCCCGCUGCCAUCCCUUCUUUGGCGAUGUUCAACCUUGUAGCAACACUCUGUGGCAAGUUUUGUAUCCACAAAACAGAAAAAGAAACAGGAAUAAAAAAGGUAUCUAUUAAUAAUGAAUGCCCCAGGUGUGGUACGCAAAAAAAUUGUUCAAAUCAAACAAAAGCUGCAUGCAUUUAGAAAAAAAGUGAUGAAAAAACAAAACAAACCAAAAACAAAUACAACUCACCCGAACUCUCCCCGAAUGUCGAUCUUGAAGUCAUUGUCAGCACUGUCUCGGCAAAAGUUCCCACAUAGCCCACAAGACAACUCCCGAUGAGAAAAGAGAAAAGAAAAAAACAGUUAACUGCUAAUUAUGUUAGUCAAACAAACUGCAAAAAUGGUCUACAUUUCACAUGCUAUAUGCUCUUGUUCAGACAAGCUAACUCGAAACUACCCCCAAUAUACACUUCUCACCCCGCUCGAAAAAAAAGGAAAUUAAAAAAUACUAAAAAAACCAUACAGCAUAACAUAUCAAAAACUACGAGGAAG